UACAGAGGUCCCAAGCGUUGUUCGGAUUCAUUGGGCGUAAAGGGUGCGUAGGCGGCGCGGUAAGUCGGGUGUGAAAUCUCGGAGCUUAACUCCGAAACUGCAUUCGAUACUGCGGUGCUUGAGGACUGGAGAGGUUGGUGGAAUUCUCGGUGUAGAGGUGAAAUUCGUAGAUAUCGAGAGGAACACCGGUGGCGAAGGCGGCCAACUGGACAGAUACUGACGUGAGGAGCGAAAGCCAGGGGAGCAAACGGG
rnacentral:rRNA from 1 species